ACAGUCUUUCUUGAGAAGCACUUUAUACAAGUUACCCUUUUGCCAUUCAUGAAUCUUCAGAAAUGUAUGCUGAUUGCCUGACACUGAAGUGAUAGAAGGCCUGCAUUAGAUCAGCUUCAACUGAGUGCAGUAUGCUGCCCUGGCAGGGUGACUGCUCAAUGAGGAGCUGGUGGAAGCACACGACUUCCAGGCACCUGGCCCUUCUCCAAGGCUGUGUUCCCUCACCAGCCACUGGAACAAAGCUCCUAAUAUCCUCAGAAAUUAAUUCUCUUCUCACAGUGUCCAAGUUACCAAUAAAGGAAAGAAAGAAA